CCUGCUGCUCCCCUCCCCACAAUGGGCACGCCGCAGAGACACGCUCCCAGUCGGCAGUGCAGCAGCCGACUGCAGCCGGCCUGAGCCAUCGUAAGUGCCUCACCUGUGAUACAGUUUUGUUCCCACUAACGUCCUCUUGCUGCAUCCUGUCACCACAAGAUGAUACAACACUACAUAUCUAGACAAGUGAUGACAGCCACCAAAAUGAUUGUUCUGUUCCCCCAUCCUUUGCCUCAGACUUAAAAAUGGAUGAGAGUUAACUGGCUGAGACACAAUCCAGUCAAAACUUAAGAGCUGUUGGCUGGAAAUGGAAAGCACCCAAGAAGGGGAAGGGACUUGGGGGGCGCCUUCACCCAUUCUGCCGACUGGCGGUUCAUCCACUGUGCCCGGCUCAACUGUGUCCCACUCAACAAAGCUGUCCGCCCUGGGAACCGAGAAAAGUGUUGCAGAAAGUGCGGCUACUCCAACAACACCCUGCCCCAUGUCCUGUGCAGCUGCAAACCCCACUCCAGAGCCUGGCAGCUGUGCCAUAAUGCCAUCCAGAACUGCCUGGUGAAAGCCAUCGCACCACGCCUGGGAGAGAUCUCCGUGAACUGCACCAUCCCCGGUACCGGCAGCCAGCUGCAACCUGAUGUCGUUAUCACCGACGAGGCCCAGAAAAAGAUCGUCCUCGUCAUUGUCACGGUCUCCUUUGAGAAUAGAACCCCGGCCUUUCGUGAAACCCGAACUUGUAAGCUGGAAAAGUACGCCCCCUGAGAGCGAAGGGCUCUGAAGUGAAGAUGGAUGCCCUGAUCGUCAGAGCCCUGGGCGCCUGGGACCCCUGUAAUGAGCAUGUGCUGCAGACCUGCGGGAUCGGUCAACGCUAUGCACGGCUCAUGUGGCACCUCAUGGUCUCAGACACCAUCCAAUGGUCCAGGGACAUCUACAUCGAACACGUCACCGGCCACCGACAGUACCAGGAGGCAUGAGCCGGAGUGCCAUCAUUCUUCGACUACGAGAAAGGGACCAAGAGACUUUGUCCGCUGGACCAUAUGAACUGGAACCAUAAACUCACUGAACGUUAAAUCUCACCAAAUGAGGAUCAACCCAUCCUCAUCAUCGUAUCCACUCAUUAUACUUCACACCCGAAUUUAGCCAUUAUAUGAACAUCAUACUGUCAUAUCUCAAUGUUUGUACUUUGACCUGUCAACCAUUUACCCCCAAUUGGGGAUAUUGCAGAUUAUGUAUUCCUUACGCCAACCGAUCUUAAACUGAACUUCGCACCCCUUGAUAAUCUGUACGUUAUUCCCUGAUAACCAGAAACUUCUAUGCUUAAACUCUGUACUGUUCACUUUUUCUAAACGUCAUCUUAAUAAAAAUUUUAUUUCUACUUU